rnacentral:lncRNA from 1 species
AAGGGGAGAGGAGGAGAGAGGUCCAGAGAACUCCAGAGAGGGUGAUGGUUCAAGGAACACAGAGGACCUAGGCUUGGUUCUUUGAAGGGAAGGGCCUGAC